AGUUAUGACCGAAUCACGCCAAAUGACUCCAAUCUCAUCAGAUCCCUGGAAGCUAAGCAGGAUUGAGCGCGGUUAGUUCUUGGAUGGGAGACUGCCAGCGAAGGCUGGGAGGUAUUGUGG
rnacentral:rRNA from 1 species